rnacentral:rRNA from 1 species
GGCGCUCAACGUCAGGGAUUCCGGGGAGACUGCGUGUCUUGGGACCGGGAGAGGUCGGAGGUACUCCCGGGGUAGCGGUGAAAUGCUGUAAUCCUGGGGGGACCACCUGUGGCGAAAGCGUCCGACUUGAACGGCUCCGACGGUGAGGGACGAAGGCCAGGGGAGCAAACCGGAUUAGAUACCCGGGUAGUCCUGGCUGUAAACGCUGCCCGCUGGGUGUUGCCGGUCUUUCGGGGGCCGGCAGUGCCGGAGCGAAGGUGUUAAGCGGGCCGCUUGGGGAGUACGGCCGCAAGGGUGAAACUUAAAGGAAUUGGCGGGAGAGCACUGCAACGGGAGGAGCGUGCGGUUUAAUUGGAUUCAACGCCGGAAAACUCACCGGAGGCGACCGGCAUGUGUGGGCCAAGCUGACGACUUUGCUCGAAUAAGAGCCGGAGAGGUGGUGCAUGGCCAUCGUCAGCUCGUACCAUAGGGCGUUCUCUUAAGUGAGAUAACGAGCGAGACCCCCAUCCUCAGUUGCCAUCUGUCUCUCCGGAGGCAGAGC